rnacentral:rRNA from 1 species
AUUGAACGCUGGCGGCAUGCUUUACACAUGCAAGUCGAACGGUAACAGGGUGCUUGCACCGCUGACGAGUGGCGAACGGGUGAGUAAUACAUCGGAAUGUACCCAGUAAUGGGGGAUAACGCUUCGAAAGGAGUGCUAAUACCGCAUACGCCCUGAGGGGGAAAGUGGGGGACCGCAAGGCCUCACGUUAUUGGCGCAGCCGAUGGCGGAUUGGCUAGUUGGUGGGGGAAAGGCUCACCAAGGCGACGAUCAGUAGCGGGUCUUAGAGGACGCUCCGCCACACUGGAACUGAGACACGGUCCAGACUCCUACGGGAGGCAGCAGUGGGGAAUCUUGGACAAUGGGCGAAAGCCUGAUCCAGCCAUGCCGCGUGUCUGAAGAAGGCCUUCGGGUUGUAAAGGACUUUUGUCGGGGAGGAAAUCCCCAGCGUUAAUACCGCUGGGGGAUGACAGUACCUGAAGAAUAAGCACCGGCUAACUACGUGCCAGCAGCCGCGGUAAAAC